UUAGUUAUUUAUUUCGAUCAGAGUUUAUUCUUUGACUUUAAUUUAAAAUGCGCCUGUCUUUGCAAGAGUCGGUAAAUGUGAUCAAAAUUUUUUAUGAAUGUUUUGAAAAUGCUACUAUAGCUGCCAGGCUGUAUGCUCAACGUUUUCCUCAAAAUCGGCGUCUGAGUAGAGGCAUAUUUCUUCGUUUGGCCCGUCGUUUUCGGACAACAGGUAGUGUAGUCCAUCCAACCUACCGUAGAUAAGGUCGCAGGAGAACGGAGGAACACAUAAUAAAUUGUUUGGCCUAUGUAGAAUUUGAUCCGCACUUAAGCAUCAGAACUAUUUUAGGCGAUUUAGGCAUACCUCGUUCUGUAGUUCACAGAAUUUUGCAGGAACACAGAUUAUUGUCAUUGGAUGGAGAAUAUGCUGCUCGAAAAUCCAAAUUUUCUCAACGAAAUUUUAUGGACAGACGAAGCAACGUUCAAUAGUGACGGAGGAGUUAACAGACAUAAUAUGCACUAUUGGUCUGAAACUAACCCUCGUUGGAUGCGCGAGAUCCAGCAUCAGGGAAGGUGGAGUGUUAAUGUCUGGUGCGGUGUAAUAGGAUCUUAGGUUAUAGGUCCAUUUUUAUUUGAUGAGAGCCUAACUGGAGAACGAUAUCUUGGAUUUUUAAGAAAUGAGCUCCCAUCAGCAUUAUUAGAAGAGGUGCCUCUGGUUAUAAGAGCCAACAUGUGUUUACAACAUGACGGAUGCCCGGCUCAUUUCGCGGUACAAGUUCCUUAAUCAGCGGUACCCUGAUCGGUGGAUUGGCAGAGGUAGCUUUUUCCCUUGGCCGGCAAGAUCGCCAGAUUUAACCUGCCUUGACUUUUAUUUAUGGAGUAGAAUAAAAGCCAUUGUAUUUUCUUCGAUUCCUACCAAUAGAGAAAAUAUGAAACAGCGAAUAAGGGGCGCUAUUCGGAGUUUACCAGCCGCAGAAAUAGAGGCAGCCGUGGAAUCAACCCGACGAAGAGUUCAAAAUUGUAUAGAACAAGACGGACGACAAUUCGAAUACCUCGGCAGGCAUCAGAUUAGUGUAGGAAUUAAAAUAAUAUUAUUUUUUAUUCCAUUUAAAAUAAGCAAGAUUUUUAUCUUUUUUUAGUUUAAUUGGUACCAAGUGCCAAAACUAUCAAAAUAUUUUUGUCGUACAAUGACGCGUCGACGUUGAUAAAUAUUUAAAACGUUCCUAUGCAUAGUUUUUCUACUUUACCCAUAAACAUUGAUUUAUUACCUGAUUUAUUACUAAUGAAACUUCCUGUAUAAAAAAGUGUAUAAAUAAACGCCACCUUCCGGAAUUUCUAAAAAGCUGGUAUACCAAGAUUGUUUCUCUACACAAAGAUUCAUUUAGACACCAGUUUUUUUAACCCUGCUGGUAAAUAGAACUUAACGACCAUAUUUGAUGUUUUCACUUUCUAAUGAACACAUAUUUUUUUUGGUAACUUUAGUUAGAGACGUGAUAUCAAAAUGCGGUUUUUACUAAAUUAUUAAGCUUUGUUCUCCGCUCUUAAUACCGUAAAAAAACACACAUCGUUGCAUUUGAGUUUCUUAAAAUAAUCAGUCGAAUAGCAUAAGUUAGAAGUAGACGUCCCCUAGCGGGUUUUAGGAAAAUUUUCCAAUAAUAUCUUUUUGGUAGAAAAAUAAAGCAAUAAAAGAGCUUUUAAAUAAAAGUUGUUUUAAAAAAAUCGGUGCAGCCAAAGCCUACUUCUUACCAUUUUUCUCAUUUAAGAUAGAAACUCUCCCCACCACUUUAUUUGGCAUUUGACAGAAAUGGUUGUCAAAACAUUUUUGUCAGGAAUACUUUGUAGAUUAUUUCGAUAAUAUUUUGGGAUGCAAGUUAUUAUAAAGGUUUUUUGAAAAAAAUAGACUUUAAAGCUUUUAAGUAGCUAGAACGUC
rnacentral:lncRNA from 1 species